rnacentral:lncRNA from 1 species
CCGACGGUUCCAUUUAUUAGAUACUCGAAAAUUUUGAUUCGGUUCGGUUCUCUCAACUGCAAAGCAGUGUGAGUUCGCGAUCACUGGAAUGUACAUAUGUGUACAAUCCGUUCACAACUUUCCACACACCGGCUCUAGCCCAAUAACCCACUCCAACAUGUAUUUCGGCACUGCAUAUCCAUUUCUCUAAAGUAGGAGCGUACAUGCUCAAUAUCAACGGCACAUGCAAACCCGGAGCUCAGGAUGACUCGCCCAAGAACAUCAAAAUAUCUUGGGUGUCUUUGAGCUCCAUCGCGCAACAUUUCCAUGGCUAUGUUGAUGUGUGAAGCAAAAAUACCAAUAAAAAGAUAGGUUCAUUUAAAUAAUAAUGAGAAUACACUUACAUCAUUGGCAAGACAAGAUUACUUCGCCAGUACAUCUUCAAAUCACUUUUUAGCGUUCGAAAUCUUCUCACCGAUCUUGUAACUAUAUCUAAAAAAUGAAAAU